rnacentral:rRNA from 1 species
UACGUAGGGUGCGAGCGUUAAUCGGAAUUACUGGGCGUAAAAGCGUGCUAGGUGGUGAGUUAAGUCUGAUGUGAAAUCCCCGGGCUCAACCUGGGAAUGGCAUUGGAUACUGGCUCGCUAGAGUGCGGAAGAGGCGAGUGGAAUUCCUGGUGUAGCGGUGAAAAUGCGCAGAUAUCAGGAGGAACACCGGUGGCGAAGGCGGGUCUCUGGGGCAGUAACUGACGUGAGGAGCGAAAAGCGUGGGGGAGCGAAACAGG